UACGAAGGGGGCUAGCGUUGCUCGGAAUCACUGGGCGUAAAGGGUGCGUAGGCGGGGCUUUAAGUCAGGGGUGAAAUCCUGGAGCUCAACUCCAGAACUGCCUUUGAUACUGAGGAUCUUGAGUCCGGGAGAGGUGAGUGGAACUGCGAGUGUAGAGGUGAAAUUCGUAGAUAUUCGCAAGAACACCCGUGGCGAAAGCGGCUCUCUGGGACGGUACUGACGCUGAGACGCGAAAGCGUGGGGAGCGAACAGG
rnacentral:rRNA from 1 species